CCGAGUUUACAAAACUCCCAAACCCACUGUGAACCUUACCUAUUCGUUGCUUCGGCGGGACAGCCCCGGGCCCUGCGCCCGGAACCAGGCGCCCGCCGGAGGCCAAAAACUCUCAUGUUUCUCCUAGCGGAAUUCUUCUGAGUGGCCCUUAGCGGCAAGCAAAUGAAUCA
rnacentral:misc_RNA from 1 species